rnacentral:piRNA from 1 species
GACAGAAGAGCCCUCUUCUCCCCCA